GGAUCUCCAUGACCAUAUUCUGGAAGAUCGAUGUGUCCAUGGAAGGAGUGGUAAAGCCAUCGCUUGAGCUCCUGCUGAAAAUGCCAGACCAGGCUCGGGAGUUUGACACCAAAAAAGUGAUGGAAAACGGCUCGAAUUACUUUCAGAGCCUCCUGCAGAUUCUCGGGGUGGAAGCAUCAAUCGAGGGCUUGAUAAGAACUGUAUGUUUGUAAGAAGUCAUAAAACAAGCCAACGUUCACGGCAUGGGAACUUCAUAUCUAAUCUUUUUAUUCGAUAUAAACACCUGUACAAUCACCCGUUAGGAACUACAUAGUGAUGCCACCUGUACAUGUCAAUCAUUUUUACGCAUGAUAUGCCCACACUGUAUGGAAAUAUACAUUAUUAGAAAAGAGCUAGAAAAAUAAAUAGUUUUAAAUACAAAAUGUUUGACAGCAAAAUCCACUUUGUAUUUUCAAAUAGUUACAUUUUAACAUUAGAUUCCAUCACAGUAACUGUGAUCUUCCUUUCUUUUCUUGCUUAAUAACAGAAUUAAUGUCCAUUCCUACCUACAUAGUGAUUAUAAAUCUUUAUUUCAUUAGAAUAACACAGUGUCACCACCUAAGACUCAUAAUAUCUCUGGCUCGUCUGGUUCAACAGGGGAAAGAUGUUGUUAAAACAAAGGCAAAUACAGUAAUGAAACUGCACAUUUCAAUCAGUUACAUCAUAACACAUCAAAACAUGACCGUCCAACAAAUGCCAUCGGUUGGACAACGAAGGCGUUUUCAAUCACAGGUAAGGCGUAUUAAUACUUCUCUUGACACCAGUUCACAUUAAGACAAAGGGGAGUGUGAACAGUUUGGCAAUGUUGAAUGUUCAUCCAUGUAAAACUCAAAACACUAUUCGCCUGAUGAGAACUGCAUAGACGACUUUGAGAAAGGCAAGCCGAUGCAGUUUGCAUCACGCUAAAGGAGGUAAACAAGAGCAUGAGCAUCUCUCAUGCCACAGUGUAUUGUAACAGUAAUAUUCCCCAUGACAGAGAAAGGCGACCGUGAGGUGCCAUCUUUAGUGUUAAAGUUGCACCAUAAUAUCUGUGCGAACCGUCUCACUGUGGUUGUUUUUUUGGGUCAAAGGCGCCAAACUUGCAACUUGUGUUAAAUCAACACUACCAUUUCUGUGGCCUAUACUGCUUCUCUG